AGACACUCUCAGGCUCCCUAGGAAGAGGAGGAUGGAGACUGGAGAGAUGGAGGGAUGGAAGGAUGGAGGCUGGAGAGAUGGAGACUGGAGGGAUGGAGGAUGAAGGGAUGGAGGCUGGAGGGAUGGAGGGAUGGAGGCUGGAGGAAUGGAGGCUGGAGAGAUGGAAGGAUGGAGGCUGGAGGGAUGGAGACUAGAGGGAUGGAGGCUGAAAAGAUGGAGGGAUGGGAGGGAUGGACGCUGUAAGGAUAGGGGCUGGAGGGUGGAGGCUGGAGGGAUAGAAGGAUGGCGGGAUGGGAGGAAUGGAGGCUGGAGGGAUGAAAGGAUGGAGGCUGGAAGGAUAGAGGCUGGAGAGAUGGAAAGAUGGAGGCUGGAGCAAUACAAGGAUGGAGGCUGGAGGGAUGGAGGCUGGAGGGAUAAAGGAGGAAAACAAAGAGCGGGAGGGGUCUGGGCACUAGGCUAGGGCCUCAGCUGCUGGGCCUGUACCAUGGCAGGGAAUCCAUGAAUCCUGGAGGCAUUUUUGGCUGGUUCCAAAGUCAGACAAAGUGUGAACCUCUCUCUGCUACAACCUUGGCCAGAAAGUCUGGUGCAGAGACGAUGAGACACUGGGGACCCCCACUUGUUCACAUUUGUUCCGUUGCUCACUUGUUCAAAAAACACGCGUGAAGCCCCUGCUUGGAGCCAGGCACUGGGCUGGGUUCAGGGUUUCCAGAUGAAUCAGGCCUGCUCCCCGGGGGACUCCCAGUCGUUCAGAAGAGAGACAGACAUUGAAACAAAUAAUUAAAGACACGAAUGAAAGCCUCUGAGAUAAAAAUACACAAGAUCGGUGAACACAGAGAGAGUCACUGAGACAAGCUUAGGGUUGACCCUAAGCUUGAACCAGAGGGAAAACUCAGACCUCCACCGAGUAGGAUGGGCAGUGGGAGGCUGGGGUGCAAUGAUCCUGAAGGAUGCUGAGGGACCCACCACUGCUCCCGUGACCUCCACCUGACGUUCCUCAGGGAAGUGACACCCCCUCCAAAAUAUGCAACGAGAGAGGCCCUGGGGAGACGCAGGCUUGGGUUUCAGAUGUGGGCGAUUCUCACACGGGCUGCAGAUUCUAGGCCUUGGUCUGCAGCCCGCUCACUCCACGCCGCUGAGACUCAGUUUUCUCAUCUGCCAAGUGAGAGUUCUGGAUUUGGAGAUGAUUAUUACAGCUAAUAUUUGCUGAACAUUUACUGUGUGCCAGGCAUCGCGCCAGACACUUUGCAUCGGUACCUCGUUCAGCCUUCACAUCCGCCCAGUGAGAUGGAAAAACUGAGCCCAGAGUGGGGCCAGGACAUACCCAACAUCAUAGCGCAGAUGAAGACACAGCCAGGACCAGAACUCAAAUCUCCUACACCAGUGGGCUUCCCCCCUGAGCCUGAACAUGGAGUCACCACUGGCUCAGUGAUUACUGAGUGGAAAGGGAUUCGAGACGGCAGAGCACUGUGCAGAGAUAGCUGGGCAUGAGGGGAGAGAAUGCAAGCCUCAGCUGGGAAUCGGGACUCUUGGAUUCUCAUCUUCUCAGAUUGACUUAAUUCACCACUUCAGAGAGGUCUGUGCGUUCACUUGUUCAUUGAUUCAUUUAUUCAACAAAUGUCUUCUUAGGUAACCUCUCUGGACCUCAGUCUCCUGAUCUGUAAAUGGGCAGAAUGCCUUUCCCAGGAUGGUUGUGGAAACAAAUGAGAAAACAAAUGGGCAACUUCUGGUGACUGCGCACAGGUGCAUGCGUGGUUGCAGCAGAUGGCAGUGCCGCCCGCGUGCCUUGGUUAUUCCUGUGGCUCAUGCCCAUGGGAAAGCUUCCAACCACAGCACCUGCAACUCCCCCUGCCCCACAACAAUGUUCUCUGGUCAGUGGUUGGGGGCAAGCCAGAGUCCUGGGAGUUAGCACACACCUAGGAGUGACCCUCAAGCAAUGUUGGAACAGAGCCGAGGAAUACACACUCAGCUCCCUCCCCGCUCAGCUGGGGUCACUCAGGUGUGUUCUACGCUGUCUUCCCAGGGUCCCCAGUGGGAUGGAGCCCCGGUUGCCCACAGCUAUAACUUGCUGGCUAAUGCAUAUUCCUCCCUGGUUUCUUCCCCACCCCCUUACAGGUACUCCUUGGGAUCAUAAAUGAACUACCUGCAACUCACAUCCUAGUGUGAGUUGCAGGGUCUGCUUUCAGAUCAGCCCAAACUCAGGACUGUCUGUCUCCAGAGCCAACACUCAACUAUCACGUUAUGCAUCAUCCCACCUCACCCCCAGGGACCUCCCUCAUAAUGGAAGCAGCAGCAAAGACUUCAUAAUGAACAGCACCAGAUUCUAGAGGCACCUGCAUUCCUUGGCUUGUGGCCUCUUCCUCCAUCUCAAAGUGCAUCGCUCCAAUUUCUGCUUCUGUCAUCACAUCGCCUUUUCCUCCAGCUCCGACUCCUCCUGCAUCCAUCUGAAAAGGAUAAUCCAGGAUAUUCUCCCUAUCUCAAGAUCCUUCAUCACAUCUGCAAAGUCUCAGGUAUGGGUGGGGCUGAGGAUAUAAUCAGUUCUGGGCAAAAUUCCUCUGGAUGUGCAGAUUUGUGAAACUAGAAAACAAGCUUUCUGCUCCCAAAAUACAGUGGUGGGACAGCAUAAGACAACAGUUAUAGACAUUUCCAUUCAAAUAGGGAGAAAAUGGAAGGAAAAAAGGAGUCACCAGUCCCAAGCAAUUUCAAAAUCCAAUCAGACAAACUCCAUCAGGUUUCAAGGCCUGGGAAAAAUCCUCUGCCCUCUGUAUGCAAAACAGCAACAACAGCAGCAACUUUGGACCUUACCUCACACCAUCUAUAAAAAUGAACUCAAAUGAAUUAUAGUCCCCUAAAGAAGCAUUAUGCUAAGUGGAAAAGCCAGACACAAAAGCACACAUCAUAUAGGAUUCAGUACAUAUGAAAUUCUAGGAAAUACACAGCUAUCAUGACAGAAGGCAGAUCAGUGACGGCCAGUGGCCAGGUAGCAGGGGUGGAAACUGAUUGACAACAAAGGAGUGUGGGGUGGCUGUUGGGGGUGAUGGAAAUGUUCUCACAACUGUAUAUGUUUUCAAAACUCAUCCAACUAUAUACUAGAAAGGGUGACUCUUAUUAUAUGUAAACUAUACCCUAAUUUUUUUUUUCUGAGACAGAGUCUCGCUCUGUCGCCAAGCUGGAGUACAGUGGUGCGAUCUCACCUCACUGCAACCUCUGCCUCACUGCAACCUCUGCCUCCCGGAUUCAAGCGAUUCUCCUGCCUCAAGCUCCUGAGUAGCUGGGACUACAAGCGCGUACCACCACACCCAGCUAAUUUUUGUAUUUUUAGUAGAGACAGAAUUUCACCAUGUUGGCCAGGAUGGUCUCGAUCUAUUGACCUCGUGAUCUGCUUGCCUUGGCUUCCCCAAGUGCUGGGAUUACAGGCGUGAGCCACUGCGCCCUGCCCCCAAUUUUAAAAUAGUGUCUUGACUAUUCUUGGUAUAAGACAAAUAAAGAAGGGAAGGAAGAAAUGAAGGAAGGAAGAAGGAAGGAAGGAAGGGAGGAAGGAAGGAAGGAAGGAAGGAAGAAGGAAGGAAGGAAGGAAGAAGGAAGAAGGGAGGGGAAGGGAAGGGAUGGGGAGGGAAGGGAUGGGGAGGGAAGGAAGAAAUGAAGGAGGAAAGAGUCAACUUCAACAGGCUAGGGAGUGGGUGGCCUCCAUCAGCCAGGAGGGUCCUGUGACCCAGGCUUUAGGCUGCUGGACACCGCUGGACAGGCCUAUUGGAGUUUGGGUCCCUGGACCUCUGGGGAAGGCAUCUCCUGCCCCACCUUUCUGGGACAGAAAAGCAGUCAGAGCACACCUGGAUUUCCAUGUUAUCCCAGAAAGCAGUCAUGACCCCUUAGCAGGAUCUUCCCUCAUAGUGCUCGGUUUCUUCGUGAGAGCAGAGAUUUUAGUCUGUUCCAAACUAAGGGUAGGGAGCCUAUCCCAGUUCACGCAGCCCAUGCCUUUUGGCCCCAAAGCCCUGCUGCUGGACCAAGGCACCAACUGCCUGAUGUGGAGUCCCUGGGGGCUCAGCUCAGGCCUCCGCCGCAGGGACAGGCCUUGUGGGUACUAAUCCACAUGAGCCUUGAGUGGCUUCUGAUUCUCUCCAGUCAAGGAGCUGCCUCUGCCCCCCUCAAGGAUGGGCCUCUAAUGGGCCCUGGUUUCCCUGUAGAGUAGGCACAAAUAGCUCAGGCUCUGGAGCCAGAUGGCCCGGGUUCAAACCCUGGUUCUGCUGUUUGCCUUGUGGUAUGACCCAGGGCAGGGUAUUCAAUGCAUUCCUGUCUCCCCUCCUGUAAAGUGAGGCGAAUGGUACUACCUACCUCCAAGAACCAGGAGGAUUAGAUGAGCUCAUCUGGGAAAAGGUUAACGGUGGAGUGUGGGCCCAAUAAGUGUUGGCUAUUGUCAUCACUGACCACUGGCAAAGAGCCCCUGGCCUGCUUCCCCUUGGGUUUCCAAAGCCCAGCCCCCUGCCCACGACCACAAGGCUGAGCAGAGACAAACUGCUUUCUUGGAGGGCUGGGCCCGGCCCUGCCACCCAUUUCAGUGUCCCACCAUGCAGGGGUCCCUCAAUCAAUAGCCUGGCUGAUUGUGGCUUUGGGGUCUCAACCACCAGCCACAGGAGUCCAGCUGGUCCAGACCACAGGUCCACCCGGGGCUGGAGCUGGGAAUUGAGGAGGUGACAGCGGGUGGGGUGGGUGUGAGCUGUCACCUGCGUUACUUCUGUGGGUCCACAGGGGCCUGCACUCUGCUGACGCCAGCCCCGGGAGACAAAGGAGGGCCUGGGGUGGGGCCCGGGAGGUGCAGGGUAGUGGGCCAGUGACCAGUCUCAGCUGCACCCACGCCUUGCUGGUGAGCUUUGCCAAACCACUUUUCUCUGAGCCUCAUUUGCUCCUCUGUAAAAUGGAGGGGACGGGGGAAAUCCCCACCGCCUUUGCUUUGGACACGGUCUGGUAUUUCGGGCUGGGCCUGGUGCCUUGGUGCUUUACAUCAACUCGUUAACUCUCACUACAGCCCCUGAGGUGCAUGCUAUGAUUUUCCCCAUUUUAAAGAUGCAGAAACUGAGGCUUACAUGUUCCAAAAAGCUUUAUCUUUGGGGAGAUUAGGCCAGCUGUGAAGCUCGUGUCACAAAUGGGGACGCUGAGACUCAGGGAAGUGACCAGCCUGGCCUAGAGCUGGCCUCCUUCAGGGAGGCCAGGUCCCUGAAGGAGGCCAGGUUCCAGGUUUAGGAAGAAAUGCUUUCCUUCCCAGGCCCACCCCUCCCAGGCCCAUUUGCUCACCUGCAAGUUAAUGUGGGGGCUGUUUUUUUCCACUUUCUAUUUUUCAAGGCUGCUACCAAAGGGGCCACGCAGGACGUCCUCUGGGGAAUGCUGGCUCCCACACCACCCGCCUCGGCUCCUGGGCCAAGGUUUUGCCUUGAUCUGUCCAUCCCACUGCACAUGGCUUCAAGGAGGCAUUCAUGGGAAUCCCUGCUCAGGUCAGGCAGCAUCGUGUCAAGGUCAUGGCCCCUUGAAGAUUCUUUGAGGAAGUGGCUGUUGAGCUCCCAACCCCAGGGCUGGAGCAGGAGGAUCAGACACCCCGGCCUCAGCCCCAGAGCAUGAAAGCCCUCCCCACUCACCCAGCUGCUCUGCAGACCCACACUUGCACACAACUCCAUGUGCCACUGACCAGCUCUGACCUCGUCCUGGGCAAGGCUGGCGGGGCCUAGACCCAAACCCACAACAGUGUGUGGCUCCCAGGGAGGCAGCGUUUCCUGGGCACCAGCUCUUUAGAGAAUGCCUUCAGAAGUCCCCAUCCAGCCUCUCCCCUCAUGAAAUCCUGUCCUUGAAUCAUCCAGCCUAGCCCCCUGAGUAGCUGUGCAUUUCCGAGACCCCGAAUCCAUAAUAUUCAUAUGAAUGAGGUGGAGGGCAGGGAGAAUCGCUGCCAUUUAUUCAACCCUUAAUAAAUGCUGGGGGCUGCACAAAGCACUUUAAAUAAAUACAGCCUCUCAUUUUAAUCCUAAACAGGCCUGUGAGGGAGGUGCCAUGAUUACCCUUGUUUUAUAGAUGAUGAAAGCUAGGGCUCAGAAGAUGAAGUCCUUUACCAAAGGUCACACAGCUAGAAAGCAGAGAGGCCAGGAGUAGCACCCACUUGCUACAAGAGACUGGCCCCUCCAGACACAGUCCUUCCCGACAGCCUCUUUGAGGUUUCCCUGGACCUAGCCCAUCGGGACACUGUCCUCACAGCAAAGUAGCAGCCCCAGGCUGGGCACACGGCAGGAACCCUGUGCUGUGGCCCCCCGACCCAGUCCUGUGAACCCUUCCUUACUCCUCUGGCUCUGCUGGGACCAUGCUCUCCACCCCAGAGCUGGGAUAGCUGGGCCCUCUCCUCGCCCUCUCAUCCCAGCGUCCACCCUCCUGUUCAGAGCUGGACCGUUAGCCCAUGGGCCCCCUAGGAUUCUCUUUGCUUCCAGUUCCCCAGGUGACCAGCAGAUCUGUUAUUCCUCUCAUUUCACUUAUUCAUUUAUUCAGUGGAGUUUAGGGGCAGUCAGGAGGCCCUGGGGACUUGUGAGUGGCUGGUAUCAGCCAAGGGCCAGGUCCAGCCUCUGUGGGUAGACACGAAUGACUUAUUAGGGCUCUGAAAAGGGGCUGUGGAUGUGUCUGCCAUGGUCAGUCCCUGGGGCGAGAGCCAGCGUCCAAGGCCAUGCUUGCCUGCCCUGGUCACCAGAAAGGGCUGGGAGAGGAGGAAGAACUGGGAGCAGGUUAGGACUUCAGAGCUCCCCUAGCUACUCACCAACCUCAGGGACAGGCAGGGGCCAGCCCCUGGAGAAGCCCCCCGUACCUGCUCCCCACCCCACCAUACACACGCAGUCUCCCUACAGUGUCCCCCUCCCUUCCUGGCCCCUGAGUCUCCGAGGCAGCAGGAGGAGCAGCAGAAGAUCCCAGGACGUGAAGUUCAAAGACAGACAGUCACCCCAGCCACCUGUCUCCCAUCACCAUCGCCAUCACCAGGGCCUCUGAGCCCCACACCCCUCCUCACUGCCCAUGUGUCCCCAUUUCUCAGGGUCCCUAUGUUCUGAUGGUGUCACAAGCCCUAGGAGUUAAAAAGUGACAGUUCCCUUCACCUUCUUCUCCUCUCUACAAUCCCCUGCCCCUCCUAGCAGGUGAGCCCCGCUAGCAGGUUGGUGUCUAUUCUACAGACCCUUUUAUGUGCAUUAAAAAAACUCCACAUGGAUAUCACAGAGAUCGACAUAUGUAGGAUUUACUUUACAGAAAUAGCGCCAAGCCAUAUACAUUUUUCUCUGAUGUGCCUUUUUUUAGUAGUGUGGAAAUCUUUCCAUAUUUAUGUAUACACAUCUACCAUAAUUCUUAGCUAUUGCAGAUUUUAUACUGAAAAGAAAACAGAAAGGCUAAGGCUAAAUACCCAUACUCCCAUAGCUUUUUUGUCAAGUACAUGAACGAAGAAGUAAAAGCCUCCAAACAUAGCAUAUGAAUCUUUCGUAUCCUUUUCCCAAGAUUACGGAGGCGGAGCUGUGUGGAUGUGCACUGGUUCAAACAUAGUCAUGCAUUUUCUUACAGAGUGGCAUCAUGCCAGUCGUGCUGCUUUAUUAUUAAUUUUUCUGCUUAGCAGUCUGUCUUGGAGAUUUUUCCAGAUUGGUGCAUUUUCAUGUCACUAGAUUCUGUUUAUCCACUAUGAUUCCAUUGUCCGGAUGAACCACUGUUCCCCUCUUAAUGGACAUUUCAGUUAGUUCCAGGCCUUUGCUGAAAUGAACACCCUUCCUUAUAUAUCUCUGCACUCCUCAUCCCAGGUCUGAAGUCUGAGGAACUGGGGACAAUUGUGUGGUGUCGUGAUGGUGAGCAUGUAAACCACAUGUCUGCCCUGUGAAAGGAAGAUAAAUCUGGGGACCCCAAAAUCACCCUCCACCCCACGCACACUCACAACACAGCCUCCUCCAGGCAGCAGAACUGUUAAGCCUGUCAGAGACUCAGGCAGCUGCCAGGCACUAAAAAUAAACAGAUGAGCUCCUUUGUCUGCAUUUAGCAAGCAGGUUGCAGAAUUACAUCUGCCCAGGGUGACCCCACACCCUGGUUUGGGGGUAAGAAGAGAAGCAGCUUCCAGGCCAUCUUCCCAGCACCCCCUUGCCUUGGCUGUGCCAUCCACCCCACCCUCCACUGCUUUCCUCCUUCCUCCAGCAGAGGGAUUACCUGGGGCAGGAAAGGGGGCAGAGGACCCCUAUAUGGCCCUGGCAGGCCUCAGAGGCCCAUCUGGGAGAAGAGGACUUUGCAGGUUCAUUUCCACAAAAUGGGGAGCUCCCAGCACGACCUCUGGGAUCUGGGCAGCUGCUCAGCUGCUUUUCUGUUCAAUUGCAUCAAACUAAUGUGAACCUGAAAUGCUCUAAAAUUGAAGCAGGAAAAAUUGGAUCUGCUAUUGAUCCUCAUCACUUGGGUGACUCCUGUGACCCAUAUUAGCCACAACCCAGCCAAAAGCAACUGCCCUGAAAACAAAGAGUGUGUGUGGUUAUUUGAUUCUGUUCAGUUGUAGAUGGGAGGAGCCUGGGGUCCCCCAACUCAGCUGCCCUUGUCCCAGAUGAUGCAAAAAAAAAAAAAAAAAGUGAAGAUAAAGACAGAGGAAAGGGUGGGAACCAGGAUGGGGACAAGCAACCCUUCCAUUGCCUGUAGAAAGGUUUUCAGGAAAAAGAUUUGCUGGCAUAGAAAAGGCUGUUGGAGCAGGGCAGCUCUAGGGGCUCCUGGGACCUCCCUUCCCACAGGUGUCAGGGAAGCAACCUCAGGCCACUUCUGCUGCGCCAUGUCUGCAGUCCCACACCCAGCCUACUGUGCGCAGCAUGUGGGGUGCUCUUUAAAGUACAUGAUGUCCUGUGUAAGUUAAAAACUCAUGUUCCAGAAACAGCAUCCUGGAAAGUCAGGACUGAGGCCUUGGAGAGUAAAUAGACCAGCAGCUCCCAAGUCUGGCACACAUGAGAGUCAUCAGCAGCUCUGACAGGUGCAGACUCCCAGGUCACCCCCGAGGGCGUCUGAUUCGGCAUGUGUGGGGUGGCGCCUGGGUAUAUGUAUUGUGAAAACAUGUCCAAGCUCAGGACCCUUAAUUUCCAAGCGAAUUGUGUUCUCUGGAGUCUUGGGAAUGGCAGAGGGACCCGGGGCUCCUGCAUGGUGAGGGGAGCUGAGCACGUGGGACCCCAGGCUCCUCACCUCUUGAACUGGAGCAUCCCACUCUCAUCCAUUCCAUAAACUGCAUCUUUGAUCGAUUGUAAGACACACCACAGUUUUAUGUACCACGCAGAAAGACACCGCCAGGUGCCAUGGAUUAUAAGAUGCAUAUCAGUCUCAUAGGCAGCAAAGGUGAAAUGUGUGUUCUAGAAUCCACAAAAUAGUGUAUGCGGUCCCUUCCUUCAGUGAUGUCCCACAGCUCUUAGAGUAAGCCUCACCUCCUCCACAUGACCCCAAGGCCCUGUGUGUCCAGCCCUUGCCUACCUCUCCAGCCACCUCCCCAAACCAUUCUCGCCUCCUCUGCGCUCCCGCCCUCUGGCUGCCUUCUUUCAGACCCCAGCAUCCUCCUCGUUUCCUCCCCAGACAGGAACUUUGCACAGGCCAUACAUUCUUCCCUUUCCUUCUUAACCUACUCUCUUUGAGAGCACAACUCAACUGCCGCUUCCUUGGGAAGGCCUUCCCUCAUCCUCUUUGCUAGAUCACACCACCACCACCAUUAUUCUGUCUUGUGGCCCCUCCGCAGCGCUGGUCCCAGCCACAAUCUCACCUUGCUGUGUGGGAUUAGGUGAUGAAUGCCAGACUUCCCUGAUUGACGAAACCAAACCAGAGACAGCCAAAGGAGAGGGGAUAAGACCGCCCACCAGUCUGUCCACCAAGCCCGCAGGAGAAACAGGCGCCCAGGCCCCAGCCAAGGAGAGAUGGUCCUGCAAAAAUUCAUCAUCAAGAGUCUGGGGUUUGGAGUCGGGCUGUCUGGGUCUGAGCCACUCCCCAGCAUUGGGCAAAUUCCUUCGAUUUCUCUUAAGACUCAAUUUCUUCCUCUGUAAAAUGGGGAUUGCAAGAGCAGCUUUGCAGGGUGGCUUUGUGAAACACCUAAGGCGUUGAACUUGACUGAGGGCUUCUGCAAUAGCACCCGUGGCCUGGGAAGUGCUUAGCACAUGCUCUGAUGCAGCAUGAGUGCUAUUAUGAUCCCCCUGUGUGGGGAGCCGGAGUCUCGCCCCCAGGGCCUGCUGAGCUGUCAUCGACCUGGCUGCCCGCAUUGAUCUGGCCAGGACCCCCUCGGGAGUCCCAUCUGCAUGGACAGGCCACCCUCUGCCCCUGGGUGGCUGCCCUUUGCCAAGUUCACGGUCUGGAGCAGUCGGCCAGCUGGGCCUCCCACUAAUGAGUGCCUCGUCCUGCCCAGACCAGCUCUCCUUACUCUCCAUCGAUCCUUGACCUUCCUGGGGAAGCUCCCUCCUCCACUUCUGCCUCUACAUGGUUGCUACUGCUGCUCACCCCAGACUCUCGUCGGCUCUGGCAGGACCUCGCUCUGUCCAGGCACCCCUGAGCCUGGGAGCCCCAACCACUCAUCCCCCCGACAUGUGUGCUCAAGGCCAGGGCUGUGGUCUGGGUUCAGAUCUCGACUUGGCGCCUGGUUAAACCAAUGCUAGGACCAAGAGAUUCGAUAGCAAGUUAUGAACUGAACAUUUGUGACCCCCAAAUUCACAUGCCAUCACCCCCACUAUGGCUAUAUUUGGAGAUGGGGCCCCUAAGGGAGUAAUUAAGGUUAAAUGAGGUCCUGAGGGUGGGGCCCUGUGGACCCAAGGCGGGUACUAUUGUCCUCAUAAGAAGAGACACCAGAGAACUCAUUCCCUCUCUCCACGCACACACAAAGCGAGAUGGCAACAGCCCACGGCCAAGAGAAGGGUGAAACCUCUCUGGUAAUAAAGCUUACCUUGCUGGCACCUUGAUCUUGGACCUUCCAACCUCCAGAACUGUGAGAAAUAAAUUUCUGUUAUUUAAGCCAC
rnacentral:lncRNA from 1 species